rnacentral:misc_RNA from 1 species
AUGAGUUGUAAAACUCCCACAAACCAUUGUGAACGUACCCCGUAUCGUUGCUUCGGCGGUUGGCUUCUGGCCUCUGCUCCGCUUGCGGGGCGCCCGCCGGAGGACAUUUAACUCUUGUUUAUUAACGGUCUCUCUGAGUAUUUAUACAAAUAAGUCA